CCUUAGAUUGGCGGCUCUAACGACAUCGUGGCGGUCUAAGGUAGUAGCGUUACCAGAAGGGUAAGAGGCUGAAAUAGCGCAAUACAGGUGGCGAAGAUAGUGCCUGUGCCUCGCAAGACUGUCGGGU
rnacentral:sRNA from 12 species